GAGAAGCCGGUUUGAAGGGAGUUGGACUAGAGAGAACCAAGACGCAGCGAUAGAGGGACUGGUUGGUUGGGGAACUGCUGGGAAACUGGAAAGUGAAACUGGGGCGGUAUCUUCGUUUUUACCGGUUAAGUUAUAAUGUAUCGCACACUAAUAUAUACAAGGGUGAUAGUUGAAUAGUUGUAAGUGUAUUUUAAACUUGAACUAUUAUAGAUGUGUUUCGUCCAGGACUAGAACUGUCAAAAUUGAUUGAGAGAGUUAAGGUGUGGCUGCCUUUAAAACGGGUUUUCUUCUUCAAGACUUGCAUCUGACCUAAAUGCUUAUGAUAAUAAAGCUUGAUCAUAGCUAUAUACAGUGAGAAGUAGCCUAGCUGAUCGAUUUUCAAUAUGAAUGGCGCAUUUGAUAGAGGGAGCAUUCGAUUAUACAACUAAUAGUGCCGUCUCGACAAGACUAAUAAGCAUUAUUCUAAAUAUGACCGAUGGAAUCUAUUCUGCUAUUAUUUGGAUGAUCAUAACAAGUAUUUAAUAAUUCGAUGUAUAAUGCUUUGAAAUGGACGUAGCAACUUUACAAUCAUAUCGCAGCCCACAGAUGAGUGGCAAGUCAACGGAGCUGUGGUGAGGAAGGCCUAGUCCAUGAUAUAAGGUAAUUCGAUAAUUGAUAAAACAUCUUUUAAUUUUUAAAAUAUAUUUUUAAAUCGUUUUCUUUAUGAUGGAGAUGCUUGUAACUAGGCUACUAACGUGUUGAGUCACACCGAGGAAAGAAGUUAGUCUAACCUACAGAAAAAAGUAAGUGCGUCUAUGUUAAUUUAAAAACUUUUACAUGUCUUUAUGAGCGUGGAAUAACCUUAACGGAAUAGAUUGAAGUAAUCUACAUUGUCUGCAACUAAAAUAUAAAAUAGAGCGUGAAAUGAGACCUAUUGAGACUAUUGCCAUAACCGUUACAAAUAUUGCAAAUUGAAUGUUCCAAAUUAUGUAAUCAAAUAGUUAACUUGCAGUGCCAUUCGGACUAUUUGUACUCUGGUCUGUAGGCGGUGCCUUCACUGCCAUAUUACCUAAUUCAAUACAGCAGUGUUUUUUCAAAGGCCAUCUCAUAUAGACUAAACGUUAAAUGUAUUGGUUUAUGGACACUUCUAUUGUGCGCAUUCGUGGCCUAUAGAGACAACGGGCGUGCCCAUCAAUUAGUCUACUUGUAAGAGAAAGAAUGGGGCCAACGAGCCCAGAAUAAGAUUCGGUCAUAUUUAACACUUAAACAAAAUGUAAAAGAUCAAGCUCAUUGCUAUACUGUAAAAUCGUUUUAAAAUACCUAUUCAUAGAUCAUAGCUUUUAACUAUACAGUUUUAUCAUUUAGUAGUAUGCUACUAGCCUAAAGAAUAAUGUGUAAUGAACUUACUCAUUAUCUUCUCGUUAUUUAGUUAGAGUAACUCACUGUAAUUCCCUUUAAUUCGACUUAAAGGAGAGGAUUGCGAAGCAAAUUUCUUUAAGGCCCCACCCUUUACAGAGAAACAUGGAUGUCGACGACAGUUUUCCCCGUAAGUUUCUUCCUUUCCCCUUUCCCUCCUCUCCUCGUCUCUCAUUUUACGUUGAUAAACCCUGAUUUAAAUGGAGAGAACCUGUAACCUACCCUAUAAACUGGCUGGCAACACCCUAAAGAUCAGACAGCAGGAUCUUCAUUCAAGCUCCCAUGACAUCUCCUUUCCCUUGAUUAAGAUUCCACUUCCCACCCUGAUGGCCAAAGAGACGGAAGAUGUAGCCUAAUGUGUGUGUGCAUCUGUUGUGUGUGUUUAUAUGUGUGUGUUUUUGUACAUGUUGCGUGGGUGCUCACUGGCUGACCCACAUCUGUUGUGUGUGUUUUUGUACAUGUUGCGUGGGUGCUCACUGGCUGACCCACAGCAGUUCUUCACUGGCAAGCUUUAUGUCCUUGUGUACCAACUAAAGCUGCCAGCUGAAGAACUGUUGUGGUUAGCUCUUUCCUGCAUCCCACACAAAAGACCAACAGACGCCUUCGAGAAAUAUGUGUGUGUGUGUGUGUCCAGAUGCCAUGCAUGGGAUCAGUGAAUUCUCCAUCCAGAUGAUCCAUAUAGCAACCUGUCAUGGUAGCAGUGUACAGCAUGUUUAGAGGUAAACACAGCAUACAUGAAACCUAUGGCUAAAACAGAAUAGCUAGCUAUCCAAGACAUCUGUUAUGAUGCAAUAGGUCUCAGUUAAGAACACAUGAACCCACUGCACUCAAAUGUAAUGUUUUCAUUAAGUAGGAAGUAUGAAAAAUGCUUACAAACUAUGAAGUAUGUUUACUAAGUAUGAAGUUUGCUUACUAAAUAUGAAGUAUGAUCACGAAGUAGAAAGUACGCUUACUUGAAGUAUGCUUAUUGAAGAUUUUACUGUAUGUGUGCUGUAUUUUGCUCUAUUUACAGUAUGUUGUAUUUAGCUUUAUCUAUGUUUACUCAACAGAGUUGUAUCUAUGCUUUCAUGUACAAUGUGAGAUCUUUUGUACCAAACAGUCAGCAUCAACUGCCCCCACAAAUGGCCGCUGUAUUCUACUCAGGCAUUAACAGAGACGACUGCACAUUGAUGCUACUGUACAUGCGGAGUCAGCCAACAUUCCACACCCCAGCCAGGACCCGCCUGCUGCCCUUUUAUGGGUUGAAGCUGCAUGGUCGGGCAUCAUGGGUGCUGCAUUGUAUAUCAGAAAAAAACAUCUCUAGGUUAAUUUCUUAUGCUACUCAAAA